rnacentral:tRNA from 1 species
GCAUUGAUUGUUCAGCAGUAGGAUUCUCACCUUCCAUGCGGGAGACCUGGGUUUGACUCCCAGCCAGUGCA